GGUGGCUCAGUGGUAGAGUGCUUGUCUUGCAUGCAUGAGGCCCUGGGUCCAAUUCCCCAGCACCA
rnacentral:tRNA from 1 species